GACGAACGCUGGCGGCGUGCCUAAUACAUGCAAGUUGAGCGCUGAAGGUUGGUACUUGUACCAACUGGAUGAGCAGCGAACGGGUGAGUAACGCGUGGGGAAUCUGCCUUUGAGCGGGGGACAACAUUUGGAAACGAAUGCUAAUACCGCAUAAAAACUUUAAACACAAGUUUUAAGUUUGAAAGAUGCAAUUGCAUCACUCAAAGAUGAUCCCGCGUUGUAUUAGCUAGUUGGUGAGGUAAAGGCUCACCAAGGCGAUGAUACAUAGCCGACCUGAGAGGGUGAUCGGCCACAUUGGGACUGAGACACGGCCCAAGCUCCUACGGGAGGCAGCAGUAGGGAAUCUUCGGCAAUGGACGAAAGUCUGACCGAGCAACGCCGCGUGAGUGAAGAAGGUUGUCGGAUCGUAAAACUCUGUUGGUAGAGAAGAACGUUGGUGAGAGUGGAAAGCUCAUCAAGUGACGGUAACUACCCAGAAAGGGACGGCUAACUACGUG
rnacentral:rRNA from 1 species